rnacentral:misc_RNA from 1 species
UCGUGACCCUUAACAAAACAGACCGCGAACGCGUCUCUCGUGCCGCCGGGCUCCGGCCCGGCCAAGGCCCCCGAGCUUCGUCCCGGGGCGGAGGGGCCGCAACAGAACCCACGGCGCCUUAGGCGUCAAGGAACACUUAUAUUGCCUUGCUCGGCGGGGCGGUCGGCCUGCCUUCCGCUCCCCGCGCGGCGAUGAUAUCUUAAUC